rnacentral:rRNA from 1 species
GAUCAAGCUAGAAAGAGCAUAUGGUGGAUGCCUUGGCACCAGGAGCCGAAGAAGGACGUGAUAAGCUGCGAUAAGCUGUGGUGAGCCGCAAAUAGGCCUAGACCCACAGAUAUCCGAAUGGGGAAACCCACCAGAAGUAAUGAUCUGGUAUCAUAACAUGAAUAAAUAGUGUUAUGAAGGGAGACCGGGGGAACUGAAACAUCUAAGUACCCCGAGGAGUAGAAAGAAACAUCGAUUUCCUAAGUAGCGGCGAGCGAACGGGAAAGAGCCCAAACCAGUUCGGGUAACUGAACUGGGGUAGAGGACCGGCAUUUAGUAUCGGAGCUUUAGCCGAAGAGAUCUGGAAAGAUCGAUCACAGAGGGUAAAAAUCCUGUAGGCGAAAAGGCAAAGAUACGAGCCGAGAUCCAGAGUACCACGAGACACGUGAAACCUUGUGGGAAACAGGGAGGCCCACCUCCCAAGGCUAAAUACUACCUGGUGACCGAUAGCGCAUAGUACCGUGAGGGAAAGGUGAAAAGAACCCCGGGAGGGGAGUGAAAUAGAACCUGAAACCGUAUGCUUACAAUCGGUGGGAGCACUAUUCGAAAGAAGUGUGACCGCGUACUUUUUGUAGAACGGACCAGCGAGUUACGUUAGUCAGCGAGGUUAAGGUGUUAAGCACCGGAGCCGAAGCGAAAGCGAGUCUUAAUAGGGCGUAAAGUUGGCUGAUGUAGACCCGAAACCGGGUGACCUAUCCAUGGACAGGGUGAAGUUGGAGUAAAAUCCAAUGGAGGCCCGAACUCACCGUUGUUGAAAAAACGGGGGAUGAGCUGUGGAUAGCGGAGAAAUUCCAAUCGAACUCGGAGAUAGCUGGUUCUCCCCGAAAUAGCUUUAGGGCUAGCCUCAGUAUAGAAUACCGGAGGUAGAGCACUGAAUGGGCUAGGGGCCUUAUCGGUUACCGAACCCUAUCAAACUCCGAAUGCCGGAUAUUUAAUUACUGGGAGUCAGACUGCGAAUGAUAAGAUCCGUAGUCAAAAGGGAAAGAGCCCAGACCAUCAGCUAAGGUCCCCAAGUAUAGGCUAAGUGGUAAAGGAUGUGUGACUACAGAGACAACCAGGAUGUUGGCUUAGAAGCAGCCAUACAUUGAAAGAGUGCGUAAUAGCUCACUGGUCAAGUGGUCAUGCGCCGAAAAUUACCGGGGCUAAAGCCUAACACCGAAGCUAUGGAUUCUUAGAGGUUAGAUGUUGGAGGUUAGAAGUUAGAAAUGAUAAAAGGGUAUAGGGAUUUAAGGAUAUACCAGAAAGCUUAUGAAUUAGGCUUGAAAGUUCAUUUACUAACGCAGAAGUAUCCUGAGUAUGAAAGGUAUGAGAUAGGAAGUCAAUUGAGAAGGGCAGCAUUAUCGAUACCAUUAAAUAUAGCAUAAGGAUACGGAAAGAAAGAGUCUAAUGCCGAGUUUAAGAGAUUCUUAAAAAUGGCACUUGGAUCUAACAAUGAAGUUGGAGUGCUUCUAGAUAUGAGCUAUGAUAUAGGAUAUAUAGACAAAUCCAUACACAUGGCAAACAAAUAUAUACAACAAUAGAAAAGUGGCAAAAAUCCAACCUCUAACAUCCAACAUCUAACCUCUAGGAGUGGUAGGGGAGCGUCGUAUAUGGGCAGAAGCCAUACCGAAAGGAGUGGUGGACUGUAUACGAGAGAGAAUGCUGGUAUGAGUAGCGAGAGUGAAGUGAGAAUCUUCACCGUCGAAAAUCUAAGGAUUCCUGAGGAAGGUUCGUCCGCUCAGGGUAAGUCGGGACCUAAGGAGAGGCGUAAAGCGUAUCCGAUGGACAAUUGGUUGAUAUUCCAAUACC